rnacentral:rRNA from 1 species
AUUGAACGCUGGCGGCAUGCCUUACACAUGCAAGUCGAACGGUAACGGGCCUUCGGGUGCCGACGAGUGGCGAACGGGUGAGUAAUACAUCGGAACGUGCCCGAUCGUGGGGGAUAACGAGGCGAAAGCUUUGCUAAUACCGCAUACGAUCUACGGAUGAAAGCAGGGGACCGCAAGGCCUUGCGCGGACGGAGCGGCCGAUGGCAGAUUAGGUAGUUGGUGGGAUAAAAGCUUACCAAGCCGACGAUCUGUAGCUGGUCUGAGAGGAUGAUCAGCCACACUGGGACUGAGACACGGCCCAGACUCCUACGGGAGGCAGCAGUGGGGAAUUUUGGACAAUGGGCGCAAGCCUGAUCCAGCCAUGCCGAGUGCAGGAUGAAGGCCUUCGGGCUGUAAACUGCUUUUGUACGGAACGAAAAGCCUUCUUUUAAUACAGGAGGGUCAUGACGGUACCGUAAGAAUAAGCACCGGCUAACUACGUG